rnacentral:rRNA from 1 species
AACGAACGCUGGCGGCGCGCCUAAUACAUGCAAGUCGAGCGAGAAGACGUAGCAAUACGUUUGUAAAGCGGCGAACGGGUGAGGAAUACAUGGGUAACCUACCCUCGAGUGGGGAAUAACUAGCCGAAAGGUUAGCUAAUACCGCGUACGCUCCUUGGACUUCGGUUCAGGGAGGAAAGCGAUACCGUGGGUAUCGCGCUCUUGGAUGGGCUCAUGUCCUAUCAGCUUGUUGGUGAGGAACGGCUCACCAAGGCUUCGACGGGUAGCUGGUCUGAGAGGACGAUCAGCCACACUGGCACUGCGACACGGGCCAGACUCCUACGGGAGGCAGCAGUAAGGAAUAUUGCGCAAUGGGCGAAAGCCUGACGCAGCGACGCCGCGUGGGGGAUGAAGGUCUUCGG